rnacentral:rRNA from 1 species
GGUGUAGCGGUGAAAUGCGUAGAGAUCUGGAGGAAUACCGGUGGCGAAGGCGGCCCCCUGGACGAAGACUGACGCUCAGGUGCGAAAGCGUGGGGAGCAAACAGGAUUAGAUACCCUGGUAGUCCACGCCGUAAACGAUGUCGACUUGGAGGUUGUGCCCUUGAGGCGUGGCUUCCGGAGCUAACGCGUUAAGUCGACCGCCUGGGGAGUACGGCCGCAAGGUUAAAACUCAAAUGAAUUGACGGGGGCCCGCACAAGCGGUGGAGCAUGUGGUUUAAUUCGAUGCAACGCGAAGAACCUUACCUGGUCUUGACAUCCACGGAAGUUUUCAGAGAUGAGAAUGUGCCUUCGGGAACCGUGAGACAGGUGCUGCAUGGCUGUCGUCAGCUCGUGUUGUGAAAUGUUGGGUUAAGUCCCGCAACGAGCGCAACCCUUAUCCUUUGUUGCCAGCGGUCCGGCCGGGAACUCAAAGGAGACUGCCAGUGAUAAACUGGAGGAAGGUGGGGAUGACGUCAAGUCAUCAUGGCCCUUACGACCAGGGCUACACACGUGCUACAAUGGCGCAUACAAAGAGAAGCGACCUCGCGAGAGCAAGCGGACCUCAUAAAGUGCGUCGUAGUCCGGAUUGGAGUCUGCAACUCGACUCCAUGAAGUCGGAAUCGCUAGUAAUCGUGGAUCAGAAUGCCACGGUGAAUACGUUCCCGGGCCUUGUACACACCGCCCGUCACACCAUGGGAGUGGGUUGCAAAAGAAGUAGGUAGCUUAACCUUCGGGAGGGCGCUUACCACUUUGUGAUUCAUGACUGGGGUGAAGUCGUAACAAGGUAACCGUAGGGGAACCUGCGGUUGGAUCACCUCCUUACCUUAAAGAAGC